rnacentral:rRNA from 1 species
GAUGAACGCUGGCGGCGUGCCUAAUACAUGCAAGUCGAGCGAACGGACGAGAAGCUUGCUUUUCUGAUGUUAGCGGCGGACGGGUGAGUAACACGUGGAUAACCUACCUAUAAGACUGGGAUAACUUCGGGAAACCGGAGCUAAUACCGGAUAAUAUUUUGAACCGCAUGGUUCAAAAGUGAAAGACGGUCUUGCUGUCACUUAUAGAUGGAUCCGCGCUGCAUUAGCUAGUUGGUAAGGUAACGGCUUACCAAGGCAACGAUGCGUAGCCGACCUGAGAGGGUGAUCGGCCACACUGGAACUGAGACACGGUCCAGACUCCUACGGGAGGCAGCAGUAGGGAAUCUUCCGCAAUGGGCGAAAGCCUGACGGAGCAACGCCGCGUGAGUGAUGAAGGUCUUCGGACCGUAAAACUCUGUUAUUAGGGAAGAACAUAUGUGUAAGUAACUGUGCACAUCUUGACGGUACCUAAUCAGAAAGCCACGGCUAACUACGUG